CGAAGGCCUGACGGAGCAACGCCGCGUGAGGGAUGAAGGCCUCUGGGCUGUAAACCUCUUUUCUCAAGGAAGAAGAUCUGACGGUACUUGAGGAAUAAGCCACGGCUAAUUCCGUGCCAGCAGCCGCGGUAAUACGGGAGUGGCAAGCGUUAUCCGGAAUUAUUGGGCGUAAAGCGUCCGCAGGCGGUUUUGUAAGUCUGUCGUUAAAGCGUGGAGCUUAACCCCAUUUCAGCGAUGGAAACUACAAGGCUUGAGUGUGGUAGGGGCAGAGGGAAUUCCCGGUGUAGCGGUGAAAUGCGUAGAUAUCGGGAAGAACACCAGUGGCGAAGGCGCUCUGCUGGGCCAUAACUGACACUCAUGGACGAAAGCCAGGGGAGCG
rnacentral:rRNA from 1 species